GGACAGGUAGCUCAGUUGGUUAGAGCAUCCUUCUAGAAUAUGGGAGGUCCUGGGUUCAAUCCCCGGCCAGUCCA
rnacentral:tRNA from 1 species